AUUAAUAUCGAACCGAUACUUAGCUAAAUUUGUGAAAGCCAUAAUGUCAAUUUGGUAUUGUUUCUUUCAAGGGGUAUCAAUAUUUUUUUUUUGAAAAAUAUCAAACUGGACAUUGAUUAUUCAAGAGAAAAACAAAAAGAAAUAAAAUUCCAAAAAAAAACUAGCCUCAACCAAAAAUGAGACCAACCCAAAACGAAAAAGAAACCGACCCAAACCAAAAUUGAAAAUUGUCCUUUAGAUAAAAAAAAUACUAACCAAAAAGCCCUAAAAACUAAAAAAUUAAAAUAACCAAACGUUUAGUUAGAUAUGUAGCUGACAACCACCAAAAUAAUUAAUCGUCCUUAUCCCCUUUUUUUUUCAGUUGUAGUUUCCUAAAGC
rnacentral:lncRNA from 1 species